AAAUGCUGCGUCCACUUUGAGAAUUAAGAUCGAUAUUUCGACUGUGGUGUAAUAGGACUGUAUCGUCCUUAAAAUGAUUGUGGCGGGUAGCCAUCAUACAACGCAAGAUAUUUGACAGAUGCCUGAAUCUCGCUUACGACAUUUUCAAGAUAAGCUUGCAUAUAUACAAGUUCCGAACAACAACAUUCGGACCGUCGGUCUACCGAGCAAAUAUCACCCGCUCGGUGGAAGAUCUUCCCUUUGUCGUAUACCAUAUGAUAUAACUUCGCAACGAGCUCCGGUGUUUUGAUCAAUGGACCAGUUAUUGUAGGCCCUUUUUUAUAGCUUAGAUGGGCGGAAGUGGCAUUGGAUUGGUCACAUAUUGAGAAAGUCCGAUACCCACCUAUGAAAGAGAGCACUGACAUGGAAAGUGUCUGGAAAAAGGAAGAAAGCCCGCCCCAGAACAACUUGGCGUCGCUCAGUGGAGCAGGAGCUAGGGGUCUUGGGCAUGACGUGGGAGGAGCUAAAAAAGACUGCCCUAGGCCGAUGUAAAGGGAAAAAUUUGAUUCGAGCCCUACACCCCAGCAGAGGGUAAUAGGAAAUAAUGAUGAUGAUAAUAUGGGUGAAAGAGCUCACAGCCCACCCGGUGUUUAGACAGAUACAAAGUAAAUGCGCCACCCACUUUGAAAUAUAAGUUCUAAGUUCUCAGUAUAGUUACAAUGGCUGCCCCACCCUUCAAACCGAAACGCAUUGCUACUUCACGGCAGAAAUAGGCACGGUAGGCACGGUACCUACUCUUGCAGACUCACAAGAGGUUCUACCACCAGUAAAACUCUGCAGAGCGCUUAACACAAAAAAUAAGUUUUGUCUGUUUUCGACCAAAAAAACAACUGCUACAGAAUAUUAACCACUAAGUUAUUCGACGUUAUUGCGUUGCUUAGAGAAUAUUUCACAGAUCAUAGAAUAAAGCACAUCUUCCAUAAAUGAGAAAAAUAAAAAAAUAAAACAUUUCGUAACUGUCUUUAGUAGCAAGCGAAAUCCUAGUAAUAGUAGUUUGUCGUCGUGGCCUAAAGGAUAAGACGUCCGGUGCAUUCGUAUCGAGCGAUGCACCGGUGUUCGAAUCUCGCUGGCGGGUACCAAUUUUUCUAAUGAAAUACGUACUCAACAAAUGUUCACGAUUGACUUCCAUGGUGAAGGAAUAACAUCGUGCAAUAAAAAUCAAACCCGCAAAAUUAUAAUUUGCGUAAUUACUGGUGGUAGGACCUCUUGUGAGUCCACACGGGUAGGUACCACCGCCCCGCCUAUUUCUGCCGUGAAGCAGUAAUGCGUUUCGGUUUGAAGGGUGGGGCAGCCGUUGUGACUAUACUGAGACCUUAGAACUAUAUCUCAAGGUGUGUGGCGUAUUUACGUUAUAGAUGUCCAUGGGCUCCAGUAACCACUUAACACCAGGUGGGCUGUGAGCUCGUCCACACAUCACAGCAAUAAAAUAAAUAAAAAAAUAGUAAACACUUGAUUGAAUUAAUUAAAUUCAAACUUGUAUAAUAGUUUUCGGUUCAAUAUUGCGUUCUUUUUUUUAUUUCGUGCCAUAAUGUCCGAUGUUUUCAAAGACAUUGUAUACAGUUAUAAUUUUGUAAUUUUCGUUAACGGAAAAAAAUUCGUGAUAAUAUUGGGACUAGCGAAUCAAUAUUGAAAUUCUAUGAUCUGCCGUGCGAUUCUGUAAGCGUUGUUUAACAAACUCGCACGUGAAUUUGGUGUGAGUUUUCAAAUUGGCAUUCUGUAAAUUUCAUUGUAGUGCCGAAUCUACACUAGCGCCCCUCGCGGGUGAAUUGAACUAGCAAGCGUGAGUUUUUUUUACUAAAAUGUAUGAGUUGACGUUUGAAACGGCAUUCUGUAGUGUAAAUCACGUCGAAUUUCGGCAAGAACUUCGCAUCGCAAAAUCAUUUUAUUUGUCAAAUCAAAAGUUAGUGUUUUAAGUGUUUGUUGUGAGUGAGAAUAUACGAAAACGUUAUAAACCGCUGUUAAUUAUUAAAAAAAUACUAUUAAUUAACAAAAUUGCACUUUAAAAUAACAUUAUUCUUCAUCGAUAUUUUAUGGAGCGUAUGUUUUUAUUGAAAACAUUGUUGAAAGAAGCUGACGCUACGGAUCAGCGUGAAAUGCGUCGACAAGCCUACGAAAUUCACAAUUUAUCACUUAACUUGAGAUGACGACUAUGUAAAAGUAUAAAGAAAGUGUAUAGAUUGUCGAAGGAUCAUAUUAUGAACCAGUUAGGGUGUGAAUUACACCCUUUGACGAAGACCACUAAAAGCCAUUGAAAAGGACUUUCAACUCUUUUAAAGUUUCAGUUAUUGUGCACCUUGUUUAUUUGGGCAAAUGAAGUUACCAAAAAAAUAAUAAAAGAAAAUAUAAGAACAUAUUUGUCCCAGAUAUCCCAGUGUAUAUCUGAGGUUGUGAAGGCUCUGAACAACCCAGCAACUAUAUAUAAAUAUUUAAGAUUCCCGCAGAAUGCUCAAGAAUGGCAAAAGUUGAAGGAAAACUGAAGAAAAAAGAAGAAGGUGGUUUAAACUAAAUAAAUAUUUCUUUUCUUCAUAAAAAAGUACCAAUAUUAAUCUAAUGCUAAAUAUUGCAGUUUUUGUAAAAAAAAAAAAAUCACUUUGGUUGUUGGGUGUAUUGAUGGGACGUUGGUGGCCUUAAAAAGACCUGCUACCAAUAAAAAAUGGUUUUACUGUCACAAAGGCUAUCAUGCCAGAAAAUGUACAGUUUGUAAAGCCAUUAAUAUUUUUCGAAAUUCUGAUGAUAUGUAAUCCAUAAACGAAAUGUGUAUUAUGAACUAUGUAUUCAGAUUGUAUUCAUUUCAGUUAAAUUGAAUUGUGUAUAUUGCUUUAAAGUUAUUGUGAAAUUUAGUAUUUAUAUUAAAUAAACUUUAUUCAGUUAUAAUCAAAACAAAAUAAAAUCUAAAGAUUAGUCAACUACAGCAAGUAAUGACCAUUAUAAUUAUUUAACAUCUUUUCGGUCUUUCUGUAUAUGCUCAACGUUCCAACCUUAUGACACCUUUUGCUAAAUUUUUUUUCAUUUCACCAUCUAAAUGGGUGGACGAGCUCACAGCCCACCUGGUGUUAAGUGGUUACUGGAGCCCAUAGACAUCUACAACGUAAAUGCGCCACCAACCUUGAGAUAUAAAUUCGAAGGUCUCAGUAUAGUUACAACGGCUGCGCCACCCUUCAAGCCGAAACGCAUUAAUGCUUCAGAAAUAGGCGAUAAUGCUAUGCUAGCUAAUACCUGCUAAUAAUAGCUAGCUAAUGCUAAUACGGAGAGAGAUACUCCUGAAGCUUUGUAGCACCACCUUCAUUCCACUGCCCGUAACUCAGUGAAAAGAACAAUAGGUCUGUUAAAGAGUAGAUUCAGGUGUUUGCUGAUCCAUAGGGUGCCAAUUUAUCACCCUGAUAAGGUAGCAAAAAUAGCUGUUGCGUGUUGUGUUUUACACAACAUUUGCAAUUGUGCAGAGCUGCCAGUUCCCAUAAUCUCAGAUUAUGAGAUUACAUUUACAUUAUGGUGGUCAUCUUGAAUUACUUAGUUAAAUUCUACUAAUUAGCUUACUUAUAGUGUGAAGUAACUUCAAAUAUAAAUUAAUGAUUUAUAAAAA